CCCUGGCUCAGAUUGAACGCUGGCGGCAUGCUUUACACAUGCAAGUCGAAUGGCAGCACGGGAGCAAUCCUGGUGGCGAGUGGCGAACGGGUGAGUAAUACAUCGGAACGUGCCCAAUCGUGGGGGAUAACGCAGCGAAAGCUGUGCUAAUACCGCAUAAGAUCUACGGAUGAAAGCAGGGGAUCGCAAGACCUUGCGCGAAUGGAGCGGCCGAUGGCAGAUUAGGUAGUUGGUGAGGUAAAGGCUCACCAAGCCUUCGAUCUGUAGCUGGUCUGAGAGGACGACCAGCCACACUGGGACUGAGACACGGCCCAGACUCCUACGGGAGGCAGCAGUGGGGAAUUUUGGACAAUGGGCGCAAGCCUGAUCCAGCCAUGCCGCGUGCAGGAUGAAGGCCUUCGGGUUGUAAACUGCUUUUGUACGGAACGAAACGGUCCCUUCUAAUACAGGGGGCUAAUGACGGUACCGUAAGAAUAAGCACCGGCUAACUA
rnacentral:rRNA from 1 species